GAUGAAGAACGCAGCAAAAUGCGAUAAGUAAUGUGAAUUGCAGAAUUCAGUGAAUCAUCGAAUCUUUGAACGCACAUUGCGCCCGCCAGUAUUUUGGCGGGCAUGCCUGUUCGAGCGUCAUUUCAACCCUCAAGCACAGCUUGGUGUUGGGACUCGCGUUAAUUCGCGUUCCCCAAAUUGAUUGGCGGUCACGUCGAGCUUCCAUAGCGUAGUAGUAAAACCCUCGUUACUGGUAAUCGUCGCGGCCACGCCGUUAAACCCCAACUUCUGAAUGUUGACCUCGGAUCAGGUAGGAAUACCCGCUGAACUUAAGCAUAUCAAUAAGCGGAGGA
rnacentral:misc_RNA from 1 species